rnacentral:rRNA from 1 species
GCUCUCUGUUGAGAAUAGAGAGUUAGGCCUGCCCAGUGACGAUGUUGUUUCUAACUUGUUAAAUGGCCGCGGUACCUUGACCGUGCGAAGGUAGCAUAAUCAUUUGCCUUCUAAUUGGAGGCUGGUAUGAAUGGUUAGACGGAAGUUCAACUGUCUCUACACAAACAAAAGAGAAUUUAAUUUUUAGGUUUAAAAGCCUAAAUACGAUUAAUAGACGAGAAGACCCUAGCGAGCUUAAUUUUUUAGUUAAAAGAGUAUAUGUUAACUCUAAAUUUUGGUUGGGGCGAUUAAGGAAAGCGGAGCAUCCUUUAAAUAACUAAGGAAAGUACCAUAUUUGUUGAUCCAGUAGUGAAAUACUGAUUAUCAGGUGAGUUACCGUAGGGAUAACAGCGUAAUCUUUUUUGAGAGUUCUUAUCGAAAGAAGGGUUUGCGACCUCGAUGUUGGACUAGGAUACCCGGAGGGUGCAGAAGCUCUCGAAGGUUGGUCUGUUCGACCAGUAAUAUCCUA